UUCUCUUUUUCCUUUCUCUUUCUAUUUUUCUUCCCCUUCUCCCUCAUCUUUUUUCUCCUUCAUUUCCUUUUGCCUUUUCUCUUCAUUCCUCUCCUUUCCUCCUCUCUUCUCCUCUUUUUCCUUUCCUUUUCUGUUUUCCUUCUCCUCUCCUCUGCUCUGUUCUCUUUUCCCUUUUCCUUUUUCUUUCCCUUUCCCUUUCUGUCCUUCCACCCUGAUCCCUCACCAAUCCUUCUCAUAUAACUGGCUUAAAUCAGGGGAAAGUAUAGGCCAGGCUUAUGCAGUGGAUGUGAGACGUGUGGUGUGGUUUACAACUCUGCUGCUAUUUACUCUCCAACACUCCCAGGGCUGCUCCAGUAUUCCAGGCAUCAACGGUUUUACCAACAGCAAAUAUAACUGACAAAAUCAGCCAGGGGGCACAACUGAUUUAACAGCUUCUGAAAUAACCUGUCUUUUGCUGCAAUAUACCUAUGGCCCUAUAUCAGACAGACAGAUCAGAACAUGAUUGACUGCCAAUGAACCCAAGAGAACUUCUCGACCUCAGAAUAAUGACAAAGAAUGGUGCCCACCAUAUAUGGUCAUUACAGGAAGACAGAACCGAAGGGUCAAGUUUCCUUGUAAGUGCUUUGGGGCAAUAGAUUCUCCAUUCUUGUUUGCUCAUUUGCAUAUUUUACUUCAUGAAGUGCUGCUUUCACCUAAAACACAAUAUAAGCAAAUGAUAAGGCCAGAAGAAUGCAACCUCUCAGUGCAUAGUCUGACUAGUUCAAAGAAAUAUUUUCAAGUCAUUCAAAAACAAUAAAAUAC